ACAAGCCCUCGGCCAAGGGAGCCCUAGCGCCGGCAACCAUCUUCCCUCUGCUCUAGUUCCGACUCACGGUCGCCGGUGCAAACCUUCGACCAAGGGUCGAGCCGUGCCCUAGAUCUGUCCUUGUGUACCACUGCCGACCGCCGGAUCGGGCUGUUCCAGCCUCUCCACGCCGAGCCCUAGUUUCCCGGCGUCACUCCGAUCGUCCUCUGCCCUAGCACUGGUCUGCCAGCCGUCCAGUGCCAGCUGCCAGCUUGUUAUCGACCUGAGUCUCUGGUAUUAAGGUUUCCAGCAGCAGCUUCGUCGGGUUCUUGGUCAUCGCAGGCGAUUAGAGGAAGAGGGCGUUUCUUGAUUUCCAAUAGCUACCUCUGUUCCGACAGCAAGUUGUCUUUGCUAUGGAUUUGUUGGGCUGUGGAUUAAGGACUGUGACGCGAGAUGAGCAACUCGACGUUGGAUUUGGA